rnacentral:rRNA from 1 species
CACGUAGGGGGCAAGCGUUGUCCGGAUUUAUUGGGCGUAAAGAGCUCGUAGGCGGCUUGGUAAGUCGGGUGUGAAAACUCCGAGCUCAACUCGGAGACGCCAUCUGAUACUGCCAUGGCUAGAGUCCGGUAGGGGAGCGCGGAAUUCCAGGUGUAGCGGUGAAAUGCACAGAUAUCUGGAGGAACACCGAUGGCGAAGGCAGCGCUCUGGGCCGGUACUGACGCUGAGGAGCGAAAGCGUGGGUAGCAAACAGG